rnacentral:rRNA from 1 species
GAGGAGCCCGCGCCCGAUUAGCUAGUUGGCAGGGUAACGGCCUACCAAGGCUAUGAUCGGUAGCUGGUCUGAGAGGAUGGCCAGCCACACUGGAACUGAGACACGGUCCAGACCCCUACGGGAGGCAGCAGUGGGGAAUCUUGCGCAAUGGGCGAAAGCCUGACGCAGCGACGCCGCGUGGGGGAUGAAGCCUUUCGGGGUGUAAACCCCUUUCGACCCGGACGAAUGGCCCGCAAGGGAAUUGACGGUACGGGUAGAAGAAGCCCCGGCUAACUACGUGCCAGCAGCCGCGGUAAGACGUAGGGGGCCAGCGUUGCUCGGAAUUACUGGGCGUAAAAGGUCCGUAGGCGGUGCGGCAAGUCGGGGGUGAAAUCUCUGGGCUUAACUCAGAGGCUGCCUCCGAAACUGCCGUGCUCGAGUGCGGGAGAGGCGAGCGGAAUUGCAGGUGUAGCGGUGAAAUGCGUAGAUAUCUGCAGG